AUUGAACGCUGGCGGCAGGCCUAACACAUGCAAGUCGAACGAGUGGCGGACGGGUGAGUAAUGUCUGGGAAACUGCCCGAUGGAGGGGGAUAACUACUGGAAACGGUAGCUAAUACCGCAUACCCUCGGAUGUGCCCAGAUGGGAUUAGCUAGGAGGUGGGGUAAUGGCUCACCUAGGCGACGAUCCCUAGCUGGUCUGGGAGGAUGACCAGCCACACUGGAACUGAGACACGGUGCAGACUCCUACGGGAGGCAGCAGUGGGGAAUAUUGCACAAUGGGCGCAAGCCUGAUGCAGCCAUGCCGGGUGUAUGAAGAAGGCCUUAGGGUUGUAAGGUACUUUCAGCGGGGGGGCGUUACCCGCAGAAGAAGCACCGGCUAACUCCGUGCCAGCCGCCGCGGUAAUUC
rnacentral:rRNA from 1 species